UUUUUUUUUCCAGGUUAUUAGGUUUUGUUGAUUUGGGAUACAAAGAGGACUUCCAUCAUUUUGCAUAAAAUUGGAGCAUGUGUUAGGUUGAUUGAGGUUCAUUUUCAAAUGAAAUGUGUACACAAAAAAAUUAAAAUUAAAUAAAAUAAAGUUAUAGUGGUAAGAUUGGGAUAAUAAGAUGAUAAAAAGUAUUAAUAAUAACUAAUAUAAUAAUAAUAUCAAUUUUAUUCAAUUAAUAAACUAAUUUUCAUCAAACCGUUUCAUAUUACUUCUCUCUUUUCCAUAUAUCUCGGUUUGACAUUCAGAAAGACCCUAACAAUCAAUUUAUUAUUAAAAAAUUCAUUUUGUCAUUUAAAAAGUAACAUAAUCAUUUGGCAAAAACAAACUAACAAAUAUAAUUAAUUUGAUUCAGAUAUGAUUUCAUUUGGAAUGAUAAUUGCAACAACAAUAAAAUAAGCGGUAAUAUUUUAUUAUAUAAAAAUCAUUGUCUUAAGAAAAUCAAGAACGAUAAUUGGAAACUAACAAUAAUAAUAAUUAGAUUUAGAUAUGAUUUCAUUUGGAAUGAUAAGAAUUGCAACACAAUAAAAUAUUUUAGUAGUAUAAAUAAGUAAUUUUUAUCACAUUUUUCACUCACAUCUAUCUAAUUUGACCAAUUUAUUUUAUUUAAUUUUAAUUUUUUUGUGUACAAAGAGAAAAUGAACCUCAAUCAACAUAACACAUGCUCCAAUUUUAUGCAAAAUGAUGGAAGUCCUCUUUGUAUCCCAAAACAAAACACCCAUAUUUGGAAAUUCACCUCUUAUUCCAACAUAAUUCAGAUUUCAAAUCUUCUUUUUUAUCCCAAAUCCAUAAAAUAAUUCAUCUAGAAUUACUCAUAUCAUACAUCACCUUACCCAAUGAAAAACUCUCUUUUAAUGUAUUUUGAUAUAUUUGAAUCAAUUUUUUAAUUAAUUUUUAUAUAUAAUAUAGUUGAAUCAAUUUAUGAGAAUUAUUAAAUUGUAAAAUAGAGUUAGUUAGGAGAUUAUAAUAGAGUUUAGUUACGAAAUUAACAAUCUAAAACUGAAAUUCAAUAGAUAAUUAGGGUAAUUAAGUAAUUAUGGUGGUAAUUAACUUUUAUAUAAAAAAAAUAACUAUGGUAGGUAAAUUUUAGUAUGCAGUUUGAUUUUACGAAUACACUUUUUAAAACAUUUGGUUAAAUUAAAAAUUAAACAAAAACUCCCAAUCAACUUAUUGAAAUGACAAAAAUAGAGACGAUUUCAUCUCUCUAUAUUAAAGAUUAAUUAUAAUCAAACUAAAAACUAAAAAACCCAUCAGAUGCUGUAACAUACAGGUGCCGUCAGAUACAGUGCUUAAACAUUGACGCUAAAUUUGGAGGGUCCUAUUUAUUUUUUAAUUAUUAAACAAUAUAAUUUAUAUUUAUUUUUAGAAAACAGAUAUCGAGAAAUCCUAAAUAUUUAAAUAUACUUUAAUAUCUUGUUUUUUACCAAAGUAUAUAUAAUUUUGAAUUCUAUACAAGUUUUUAAAAAAGGUUAAUAAUUAUAUAUUUAAUAACUUAUUUUUAAAUUAAAAAGAGUUUGACUUAACUCGACUAACUAUUCAUAUUCGAAUUUAGUUGCCCAUUUAGAAAUACUUUAAGAAUACCAUUUUGAUCAAAGAUUUGAUUAGGGAAUUAAAUUGAAGAGACUAUAUAGAAAGUUUAUGUAGGCAUAAUAACACAAUAUAUGUCGUCCUAGAAAUAAACGGUGAAUAAUAAGUCAUUUUCUUUGUUUUGUUUCGACUUUUCUUCGGUGAUACCAUGAGUUCUCACAAAACUAUCAUAUUUGAGGCAUGUCCUUUUUUUUUCUUAAUUAUUAAUUUCUUGACCUUAAUACUAAAAUUAAUAUUAAUUGUAUUACAAAUAAUUUUUAAUUAUAGCAUAAUAAAAUAUUAAAUAAAUUAACAAGUUAAUGAAAUCGAAAUAUAACAAUGAAAUAUUAAUAAUCUGCAGUGCUAUUAUAAAGUAUAAUUAUUUAAAGUAAAAUAAUAUAUUACUAUUUUUUUAGAGACGCGAGAAUGCUAACUUACUCCUCUCUCUAGAAUAAGUGUCCUACUUGAUAUUUUUCCAUAGUUAGAAAAUAUAAUAAAGAAAAGAGAUAAAAGUUAUUAAUCAAAUUACUUUACAACAAUAAAUUAGGUUUAGAUAUAGGGUACAAUUGGAAGAAAAAAUUAAAUUGCAUUUGGUAAACUAAAGUGACACGUAUUUUGGAACAUAAUUUUUUAAUGAGUACAUUUAUUUUUGGGACAAAUGGAGUAAUACUAUAAGUUGUCUCCAUAUUUCAAUGCGAAAUUCAUUUUACGGAUGAUAUUAUAUUUUACAUUUCUAAUCCCUGGCCUUCAAAUUGAUUUUAGAUAACUUAGGUCUGAAAUUUGGAAUAAAAAUAGAUAAAAUCAAGGGAAGGGAGUUCUGAUGCGGUGACUGAGUUUCUCGAUCAUCAGUGAAAGGCGGGGGUGGACUUGCCAAGGUUAUGAACUUAACGUUCCCAGUCAGUGACAUGAGCUGAGAAAAUAAUCAUGAUGUAUGAGAGAAUAUCUAAAAUGCCGUGUGUAUAGACAUUAUUAGUCAACAGGCGAUUGAAAACUGUCUUUGUGGGAUUCAAUGUCUUUCAUGUGAGUUCGAUUGUCCUCAAUCAGAAUCUAAUGGUGGAAAUGUAUAGAUGCAUAUUCACAUGUCUCUAGAUGGAGUGAUAUCGCAACUUGUUAUGAUGCCUUUUAUUGCGAUGUUUGUUUGGUUUUCUUGCCAUUCGUAGGCUCUGGAGAACGUCCCUAGACAGUCCCCACAAGUCUUUUGUUAUCCUACUCACGAGCUGCGGGGCUGUACACAUGUCUGUCAUUCCAACUGCUGGAGGCAAAGUCUUGGAUGGGACAUCAGUUUAACAUUAGGACCGAAAUCACAUAAUAUCUUUCUCAUAUUACAACAUUGUCGCAGAAAGUCUCGACGCAUGGCCAUACGUCUGAAUACAAGAUGUUAGUUGUUACUAGGGUAUAAAGUGUUUUUUGAAUAGUCUGAGGAAAGACUAGAGCGCACCAUAGGUUCCGCACUACUCGAGUCUAACCAUAUGGAUCAUACGAUAGUCUUCGCCUUUCGAGGAUUACUGAGAUUUCCUAGAUUACUAUCUCUUUUUUGAUUAUUGUAGUCUUGAGAACCGCCUUUUGAUUCCCCUUGUUUUCGGGACUUCCUUUCCAAAAGCUUCUCCAUNNNNNNNNNNNNNNNNNNNNNNNNNCGAUCAAGCUACCUUUGUCGAUAUACAUGUAAAGAAGACUCCAUUGUAGGUAUUGGAAUCGUGCAAACAUUGAAUGAGUCGGUUCGCCCUCCUGGGAAGUAGUAGUUGAAGCCUAUGCCCGAUGAAGCAAACAUGAAACAAAUUGUUUCUUUUGAUCUUAUGUAGGAAGCUAGAGUUCUCCACAUGUAGUUUCCCGUUGUGCCACCGUAUCCAUAAACAAAAAAAAUACGCCUCCUUGUUUAUUGCUUACUGCUUCCAUUAUCGCUUGAAUACCACCAUCUUUGCUCAAUCUAAGUUAAAAAAGUACAUAGCAACAUGCGCAUGAAUAAUUAUAUAUACAUUAAAAAAAAUUGUAAGAUAAAAUCAUACUUUAAAAGUUAACUUUAUAAAAUUAUGACAAAACUUACAAACAUUUAACAUAUUUACCUGUAAGAUUUAAGAACAAAUUAUUGUAUUCUUGCAAUUGUUCGGCUGGAUUGUAACUCGCUCUUCGUAUAUGACUUAUUUCCAAACUGCUCAACCAUAUAUCCACUUGGAUAAGGCAUUCCAGUAAUUCCUUUAGACUUCGGCUCUUCCUUGAAAUUUCGUGCAAUCUCAAUUAAUGUUAAAUUCAUUAUCUCUUCAUCCGACAACCUCAAAACCUUUAUACAAUAGUAAUUAUAAGUGUAAACUAUAAAACAAAUUUACUUUUAAGAAUCAAACAAAUAAAUAUAAUAAAAAUUCACAAUAAUAGGAAAAAUAAUACUUCUAUUGUUUGCAAUUCGUUGUUGAGAUAUAGUAUUCCAUCAGCUAAGAAUGACAUGUUUUACUCCAUACAUGUCUUGGCCUGUUAAUGCUGCCUGAUAAAACAUGUGAACAAAUAGUAAUCUCAAAUAUUGACCUGAACCCCAAUGAUUUGCCUCUUUAAUAGCUGCCAAUGAAUUCUUUAUCAUCGCCGAAUAAAACCAUAGCAAAACAGGCAUCCCGGAAGUAUCAUAUUUUACGUUAUCACUUGUUUUUAUAUCAUUAUAACUGCGGGGCCUUUGACAUUGUGUGAGCAUCAAUCUAAGAUAGUACGAUUCGCUAGUUGUUGAGGAACCCUAUAAGCCUACCAAUUGUGUAACCUUUUUGACGGGGUUUCCAUUCUCUUUUUUUCUAACAUAAACAAAUUUGAAACAAAUUUGCUGUAAGUUAAAUUUUGUGCGCUCAGGAUUACUUGCAAUUUGCUUCGAACCAUUGAUGUAAACAUUGAUUCAGUUACACUUGGUUUUUUCCAGAACUGUAUUGAUACGAUCAAAAUCAGUGUAAUUAUACCGAAUUUUGACCUUCACAAUGAAAGUACAGUCUCUCAACAGCUGGUUUUCUACCAUGGAUUGGAAAGGAGAAUAUCCUCCAAGAAUGUUCACUCGGAGAAACGUACCUACAAAUAAUAUAAUGAAAGGCAAUGGAUUUUAAAAUUAAUAGAAUGAUUAUUGUAGACAGAAUAUUAUAAUUUUAUUAUAACACAUAUAGUCAAAACAGUGUACAUAUAAAAUUUCUACACCAUGCAUGUAAAGAAAAAUAUGCACACUUUAGUUGAAAUAGAUAAUUGCAUGACAUCAUAUUUCAAGUGAUAUAUUAGAAACGUUACCUACAAUCAAUAUACUGUUUGAUCUCAUCAAUAUUUGCGGCUGGUUGGAAGGUCCAUCAUCAUUCGGUACAAUUGGCAGCGGUGAUUCUGUCGUAACCUUUGUUGAUGUACUUGAAUAAGUACUUAAUCUAUGUACUUUGAUUGCACCAUUCCAUGUUUAUGUUGAGCUUGGUACUUUGUCAACAACUUUGCAUUGUAUGGAACAACAUUUCCGGUUAUCGACUUGAAUUCCAUCUUAAGAACUGUAUGUCCAUUGUCCCUUCUUCUAUAUUACCGGGAAACCCAUCUUAAUCAACAAUUGUUUCGGGCUGAAACUGUUUUGGAAAAAUAUUUAGAACAUUUUCCAUUCUUUCAUGCACGGUGAAGAUCGAUUUGCCAAAUCCACACGGGCCAUGAAUCAUGUGGUUUUAACCAAAUUAUACAACUCUCAUUGUAUCUUGGUCAGGUAUUUCAGCUAAAUAAUGCGAUCAAUAUCACUUGGAGUUGGAUAUUUGUUAGAUGGAUGGAGGAAAUAUAAGAUGUUGAGCAUGUGGUAAUCCUCUCUUUUGAAACUCAAUUGUAUACAUAUCUAUAAAAAAAUAAAUAUAUAAAAUAUAUACAAUAGUCAGCACACGAAUGAUAAAUUGAAAAUAAACAAUACGAUUAAUUGAAAUAUUGGAAUAAGUUACUCACAUGCAAGAACUUUCCCCAAUAGACUUUUCUUUGUGAGAUCAGACAAAAGCUCAUCAAAUUUCAUUUAAAGACUCUUGAAAUCAUGUCAGGACGAUUCUGAUGCUUUUGAGAAACAGAACCAAGCAAACGCUGAAUUUAGGCCAGUUGGGGGUACAUGUGAAUGUAAUGAAAAGAUCUGGAAAUCCGACAUAGCUGCAUAUUGCCCCAUUCCGUCAAAGUAUAGUUGAUCCAUAUAUCUACGACUACCAACGUAUGAAGAAGGUAGCACAAACCCUCUACCGGUGUUUGACCUGUGCGUUUCUCCAUUUGAAUUAUAUUCAUUCAAAUUUUGAUACUUGCCAACCCUCAGUUUUGACUGAUUCUUUCGAGCCACCUAAGUCUUCUGAUUCCAUCAUUGUAAACCAUCUACCAAAAUUGUUGAUAAAGUAUCUUGAUCGCAACAAUGGUUGUGCUUCAUUAGAUCUUGAUUGAAUUCUAAAGGCCAAACCACUCUCUUAUUGUAAGUCGAUUUCGCUUUGUUGCUUCUUCCCAAGGAAUAUCUUUAUUGUUUCUGUUCUGACUGUGUUAUGUCUGUGAAGUGGUGAAUAUUUGUCCCUUUUAUCACGGUGCCUCACAUUAGGUCUAUAUCCAUCCUCACCAUAUGGAAAUAAUAAUGGGUACUGAUAUCCUAAAUAAACUGGUAUGAUACUCAUCUAUCCUUGAAGUUCGCCACAUUGUUUUUGCACUAUAAGUCUUCUUUUUCUGCAGUGUCGACAUCUCCAACAAUUAAAGCCAGCUACUUCGGAUACAGUUGGUUGAUUAUAUAUCCUUCCAUCAUUUCUUCGUUCAGAUAUUAAACGAAGUUUUAAAUCAGAAACACCUUCUUCACAAAGUCUGUCCCUUGCCAUGCGAAAUGAUUGUGCAUGAACAUUAUGUUCAUAUAACAUUUCAGAUAGUUUUCUCACAAUAUUAACAUCAACUCACUUUUUGACCUAUAAUUGAAAGAGUUGAAACAGUUUAUUGCAAGUUUCUUAAAUAAAUAAAUUUUAAAAGUUUGGAAAAUAAUAGAUAUCUAACCUGAAUCCAUGCGAUUAUGUUUUCAAUUUCAUUCUCAAUGUCAUAACAUAUAGUUGUGCAAAUCGUGGAUUUUGACCGGCACGGUAACAUGCUUCCUAUUCGGUGACAUGAUGACCUUGGAUACGAAAAUUAGGAGGGCAUCUACCGUGUUAAAUCGAUUGUCCACUUUCGCACCGGGAGAUGUAAAUGCAAACAUAACGUUGUCAUUCGAAUUUGUUGUUGGAAAUUUUUUGAUUCACAUGAUUCGUUGUCAAACAACAGAUGUUGUGAACUUUUAGGAGCGGGUUUAACAAAGUAACUAAACUUUUCCUGAUCCACAACACAUGGAAAAUUUAGGAUUGGACGCAUGACGACAUUUGUUUUUCCUUCCGAAUACCACAUAUUGCACCACAAUAUUGACAUUCAAUGACAGGAUCCCCUAUAUCAUAAUACCCUCCUGAUCAUCAAUAGUAUUUAAGUCAUAUGUUAAUAAGUUUAUAUUUCAUAAUAAAAAAUAUUAUUUAUAGUAAAUCAUUUUAAAAACCUGAUGUAAUUUCAAAAGUUUCCAUAGCAUCUGUUCCAUUAGACAUUCAUCUUCAUCAAAAACUUGAAUUUGUUGCUGAACUGUACUUUUACAUAACAUUUAUGUGUUAAGAAUAUUGUAACUAUUCUAUGACAUAUCAUAACAAAUUAACUCAAAUGAAAAAUAAUUAAGAAUAUACCGUCAGAUUCAUCAUUCAUAUUUAUCGUCUCCACUAUCAGAUGCAAAAAAGCUCAUGAGUUGCAAUUCUGGUAUUGGAUCUUUGGUUGAUGUUGUUGCAGCAAAUGUAUUGUCAAACCUCUUAGAUAAGUUAACUCCUAAUUUGGUAAUGUUUCUGCUUGAUAUCCUUUUUGAUAUGAUAUUAUUAUUGGUACUUGACUUAGUCUUUAAGGACGAAUGAAGUUGACGACUUACUUCAAUGUUGUUAUACCACGACCGUCAUUUAGUAUGUUUGGCCGAAGUUCUGAUAUGGUAUCCUCAAAGCUGUUGAGUCAUGUCGCGUCUUUUAUCAAAUGUACCGUUUCUUUAGAGCAGUUUCAACCUCUUAGAUUUCUGUCAUCAAUAACACUCUUUCUAUAAAUUCUGGCUUUUGCAGCAUUCUUCCUCCUCAAAAUAGUUUUAAAAUGUAAUUCUUCAUCUACCAUUUUGAAUAUUUUCUUAUAUAGUACUCACUCAGGCUCUAUAAUUCAAAAUGAUCAUACUUGAUCAUACAUCUGAAAAAAUUACACAUAUAUAACAGAUAUUAUAUAUCUUCAUCAUUAUUAAAACAAAGAUAUAUAAUUUUAUAGUGAAUAAAAUAUCAAAUGUUCACCUGAUAAAAAAACAUAACUUACAUUGCCAUGCUUUAUUUGAAUAAAGUUUUCUUACAGCUUUUGCUCAUUCAACAUGAUAAGUUCAUUCUUGAAUUUGGAACAAUACUUGAAAUUGCUAAUAUAUAAUAUAUAAGGUACAUGUUAAGAAUGGAUCAUUUCCUUUAUAUAUAUAUAUAUAAUAUAUAUAUAUAUAUUAUAUAUAUAUAUAUAUAUAUAUAAUAUAUAUAUAUAUUUGGUACGAAAAUUCGUCUGUUCCUCCAAAAAUAAUUGGCAAUUACUAACAUGUGGAUAUGUGUAAUAUAGGGAAAUGAAAAGUUUUUCAUCAGCCUAUAUAUUAAUAUAGCCGUAAAACCUAAAGAGGGAUUUCAAUAGAAGCAUGUUUAUCUAUAGUUUUCCCAAGUUCCUACACAUUUACGAUGUUGCUGUGUCAGAAGCAUUUGGAUAUUUGAGAUUUUCCAACGUUCUCUCAUUUGCAAUGUCCAUAAAGAAACCCACGCUCCUACAAUUAAGUGAUUCAUAUUAUUAUUAAAAAAAUUCAAUUUGGCAUUUAAAGAAAAUCAAACAACGAUAAUAUUUGGCAAAAAAAUACAAUAAUAAUUAAUUUGAUUUCAGGAUAUUGAUUUCAUUUUGGAAUGAUAAGAUUGCAACAACAAUAAAAUAACGGAAUAUUUAUUAUUAAAAAAUUCAUUUUGUCAUUUAAAGAAAAUCAAGCAACGAUAAUAUUUGGCAAAAAAAAACUACAAUAAUAAUUAAUUUGAUUUCAGGAUAUUGAUUUUGUUUUGGAAUGAUAAGAUUGCCAACAACAAUAAAUAACGGCUAAUAUUUUUUAGUAGAUAAUUAGGUAAGAAAAAAUAUUGUCAAUGUAAAAAAAAACAGUAUUAAGAAAAAUAUUUUAAUGUACAGAAUGAAUUUAUAAAAAUUGCAAUUACAUAAUGAUUUUUUUUAAAAAAAUAUAUAUGAAUACAAACAGAAUAUGUACCUGGAAUUAAUUUAAAAUUGUAUUUAGUAAUCUAUAGGGGAAUGAAUAAAUUUGUUAGAUUUCAAAAAAAAAUAUAUUAUAUUUUUCAAAUUGGUUUCUAUCUUUAUUGAAAAAUAUGAUAGUAUUAGGUUGAUGUGAUGUUAAAGUAGACAUUAAUGAUGGUUACUUUUGGGAAGUUUGCUUCAAAUAUAAGCAAAAUAUUGAAGUAAAAGGUGUGGAAUAUACUGAUUUUUUAGGGUUGAAACACGUGUAUUGGAAGUUGCAUAUCUGUAUCCAUUACAUUUAAAAUGGUAUAAUAUUGUCAGUGGUUUUGGAAUAGUGGUUUUGGAAUUAUUGAGUUAUUAAGUGGGUAAAUGAGAUUAAUAAUGAUGAUAAUAAAUAUAAUAAAUAACAAUAUUAUUAAUAAUAAAAUAUCAAUUUAUUCAAUUAAAUAAAACCUAAUUUUCAUCAAACUGUUUCAUAUUACUUCUCCCUCUUUUUCAUAUUCUCGUUUGACAUCCAGAAAGACCACUUAAAAAAUCAAUAUAUUUAUUAUUAAAAAACUUCAUUUUGUCAUUUAAAGAAAAUCAAGUAACGAUAAUAUUUGGCAAAAAAACUACAAUAAUAAUUAAUUUGAUUUCAGAAUAUUGAUUUCAUUUGGAAUGAUAAGAUUGCAACAACAAUAAAAUAACGGUAAUAUUUAUUAUUAAAAAAAAUUCAUUUUGUCUUUAAAGAAAAUCAAGCAACGAUAAUAUUUGGAAAAAACUACAAUAAUAACUAUUGAUUUAGGAUAUGAUUUCAUUUGAAUGAUAAGAUGCAACAACAAUAAAUAACGGUAAUAUUUUUAGUAGUAUAAAUAGUAAUUUAUUUUAUCACAUUUUUCACUCACAUCUAUCGUAAUUUGACCAAUUUAUUAUAAAAUAUUCCAAAACCACUAUUCCAAAACCACUGACAAUAUUAUACCAUUUUAAAUGUAAUGGAUACAGAUAUGCAACUUCCAAUACACGUGUUUCAACCCUAAAAAAUCAGUAUAUCCACACCUUUUACUUCAAUAUUUUUUGCUUAUAUUUGAAGCAAACUUUCCCAAAAGUAACCAUCAUUAAUGCUCUACUUUAACAUCACAUCAAACCUAUAUCUAUCAUAUUUUUCAAUAAAGAUAGAAACCAAAUUUGAAAAAUAUAAUAUUAUUUUUUUUGAAAUCUAACAAAUUUAUUUCAUUCCCCUAUAAGAUUACUAAAAUACAAUUUUAAAUUAAUUCCAGGUACAAUAUUCUGUUUGUAUUCAUAUAUAUUUUUUUAAAAAAAAUCAUUAUGUAAUUGCAAUUUUUAUAAAUUCAUUCUGUACAUUAACAAUAUUUUUUCUUAAUACUGUUUUUUUUUUACAUUGACAAUAUUUUUUCUUACCUAAUUAUACUACUAAAAAAUAUUACCGUUAUUUUAUUGUUGUUGCAAUCUUAUCAUUCCAAAACAAAAUCAAUAUCCUGAAAUCAAAUUAAUUAUUAUUGUAGUUUUUUUUGCCAAAUAUUAUCGUUGCUUGAUUUUCUUUAAAUGACAAAAUGAAUUUUUUUAAUAAUAAAUAUUACCGUUAUUUUAUUGUUGUUGCAAUCUUAUCAUCCAAAUGAAAUCAAUAUCCUGAAAUCAAAUUAAUUAUUAUUGUAUUUUUUUUGCCAAAAUAUUAUCGUUGUUUGAUUUUCUUUAAAUGACAAAUUGAAUUUUUUUAAUAAUAAUAUGAAUCACUUAAUUGUAGGAGCGUGGUUUCUUUAUGGACAUUGCAAAUGAGAGAACGUUGGAAAUCUCAAUAUCCAAAUGCUUCUGACACAGCAACAUCGGUAAAUGUGUAGGAACUUGGGAAAAUAUAGAUAAACAUGCUUCUAUGAAAUCCUCUUUGGUUUUCGGCUAUAUUAAUAUAUAGGCUGAUGAAAAAUUUUCAUUUCCCUAUAUUACACAUAUCCACAUGUUAGUAAUUGCCAAUUAUUUUUGGAGGGAACAGACGAAUUUUGUACCAAAUAUAUAUAUAUAUAUAUAUAUAUAUAUCUAUAUAAUAUAUAUAUAUAUAUAUAUAUAUAUAUAUAAAGGAAAUGAUCCAUUCUUAACAUGUACCUUAUAUAUUAUAUAUUAGCAUUUCAGUAUUGUUCCAAAUUCAAGAAAUGAACUUAUCAUGUUGAAUGAGGCAAAAGCUGUAAGAAAACUUUAUUCAAAUAAAGCCAUGGCAAUGUAAAGUUAUGUUUUUUAUCAGUGAACAUUUGUAUUUUUAUUCACUAUAAAUUAUAUAUCUUUUGUUAUUAUAAUGAUGAAGAUAUAAUAUCUUUAUAUAUGUGUAUUUUUUCAGAUGUAGAUCAAGUAUGAUCAUUUGAAUUAUAGAGCCUGAGUGAGUACUAUAAUAGAAAAUAUUCAAAUGGUAGAUGAAGAAUUACAUUUUAAAACUAUUUUGAGGAGAGAAUGCUGCAAAGCCAGAAUUUAUAGAAGAGUGUUAUUGAUGACAAGAAAUCUAAGAGGUUGAAACUGCUCUAAAGAAACGGUACAUUUGAUAAACAGACGCGACAUGACUCAACAGCUUUGAGGAUACCACUAUCAGAACUUCGCCAAACAUACUAAAUGAGCGUCGUGGUAUAACAACAUUGAAGUAAGUCGUCAACUUCAUUCGUCCUUAAAGACUAAGUCAAGUACCAAUAAUAAUAUCAUAUCAAAAAGGAUAUCAAGCAGAAACAUUACCAAAUUAGGAGUUAACUUAUCUAAGAGGUUUGACUACAUUUGCUGCAACAACAUCAAACCAAGAUCCAAUACCAGAUUGCAACUCAAUGAGCUUUUUUGCAUCUGAUAGUGGAGACGAUAAUAUGAAUGAUGAAUCUGACGGUAUAUUCUUAAUUAUUUUUCAUUUGAGUUAAUUUGUUUAUGAUAUGUCAUAGAAUAUUACAAUAUUCUUAACACAUAAAUGUUAUGUCAAAAGUUUACAGUUCAGCAACAAAUUCAAGUUUUGAUGAAGAUGAAAUGUCUAAUGGAACAGAUGCUAUGGAAACUUUUGAAAUUACAUCAGGUAUUUUAAAAUGAUUUACUAUAAAUAAUAUUUUAUUAUUAUGAAAUAUACUUAUUAACAUAUGAUUAAAUACUAUUGAUGAUCAGGAGGGUAUUAUGAUAUAGGGGAUCCUGUCAUUGAAUGUCAAUAUUGUGGUGCAAAUAUGUGGUAUUCGGAAAGGAAAAACAAAUGUCGUCAUGCGUCCAAUCCUAAAUUUUCCAUGUGUUGUGGAUCAGGAAAAGUUUAGUUACCUUUUUAAAACCCGCUCCUAAAGUUCUACAACAUCUGUUGUUUGACAACGAAUCAUGUGAAUCAAAAAUUUCCAACAACAAAUUCGAAUGUACAACGUUAUGUUUGCAUUUACAUCUCCCGGUGCGAAAGUGACAAUCGAUUUAACAACGGUAGAUGCCCUCCUAAUUUUCGUAUCCAAGGUCAAUCAUGUCACCGAAUGGAAGCAUGUUACGAUGCCGGUCAAAAUCCACGAUUUGCACAACUAUAUGUUUAUGACAUUGAGAAUGAAAUUGAAAAAUAAUGCAUGGAUUCAGGUUAGUAUCUAUUAUUUCCAAACUUUAAAAUUUAUUUAUUUAAGAAACUUGCAAUAAACUGUUUCAACUCUUUUCAUUAUAGUCAAAAAGUGGAGUUGAUGUUAAUAUUGUGAAGAAACUAUCUGAAAUGUUAUAUGAACAUAAUGUUCAUGCACAAUCAUUUCGCAUGGCAAGGGACAGACUUUGUGAAGAAGGUGUUUCUGAUUUAAAACUUCGUUUAAUAUCUGACGAAGAAAUGAUGGAAGGAUAUAUAAUCAACCAACUGUAUCCGAAGUAGCUGCUUUAAUUGUUGGAGAUGUCGACACUGCAGAAAAAGAGACAUUAUAGUGCAAAAAACAUGUGGCGAACUUCAAAGGAUAGAUGAGUAUCAUACCAGUUAUUUAGGAUAUCAGUACCCAUUAUUAUUUCCAUAUGGUGAGGAUGGAUAUAGACCUAAUGUGAGGCACCGUGAUAAAGGGACAAAUAUCACCACUUCACAGACAUAACACAGUCAGAACAGAACAAUAAAGAUAUUCCUUGGGAAGAAGCAACAAAGCGAAAUCGACUUACAAUAAGAGAGUGGUUGGCCUUUAGAAUUCAAUCAAGAUCUAAUGAAGCACAACAUUGUUGCGAUCAAGGAUACUUUAUCAACAAUUUUGGUAGAUGGUUUUACAAUGAUGGAAUCAGAAGACUUAGGUGGUCGAAAGAUCAGUCAAAACUGAGGGUUGGCAAGUAUCACAAUUUGAAUGAAUAUAAUUCAAAUGGAGAAACGCACAGGUCAAACACAGGUAGAGGGUUGUGCUACUUCUUCAAUACGUUGUAGUCGUAGAUAUAUGGAUCAACUAUACUUUGACGGAAUGGCAAUAUGCAGCUAUGUCGGAUUUCCAGAUCUUUUCAUUACAUUCACAUGUACCCCAACUGGCCUGAAAUUCAGCGUUUGCUUGGUUCUGUUCAUCAAAAGCAUCAGAUCGUCCUGACAUUUCAAGAGUCUUUAAAUGAAAUUUGAUGAGCUUUUGUCUGAUCUCACAAAGAAAAGUCUAUUGGGGAAAGUUCUUGCAUGUGAGUAACUUAUUCCAUAUUCAAUAAUCGUAUUGUUAUUUUCAAAUUUAUCAUUCGUGUGCUGACUAUUGUAUAUAUUUUAUAUAUUUAUUUUUAUAGAUAGUAUACAAUUGAGUUUCAAAAGAGAGGAUUACCACAUGCUCACAUCUUAAUUUUCCUCCAUCCAUCUAACAAUAUCCAACUCCAAGUGAUAUUGAUCGCAUUAUUUCAGCUGAAUACCUGACCAAGAUACCAAUGAAGAGUUGUAUAAUUUGGUUAAAACUCACAUGAUUCAUGGCCCGUGUGGAUUUGCAAAUCGAUCUUCACCGUGCAUGAAAGAUGGAAAAUGUUCUAAAUAUUUUCCAAAACAGUUUCAGCCCGAACAAUUGUUGAUUAAGAUGGGUUUCCGGUAUAUAGAAGAAGGGACAAUGGACAUACAGUUCUUAAGAAUGGAAUUCAAGUCGAUAACCGGAAUGUUGUUCCAUACAAUGCAAAGUUGUUGACAAAGUACCAAGCUCACAUAACAUGGAAUGGUGCAAUCAAAGUACAUAGAUUAAGUACUUAUUCAAGUACAUCAACAAAGGUUACGACAGAAUCACCGCUGCCAUUGUACCGAAUGAUGAUGGAACUUCCAACCAGCCGCAAAAUAUUGAUGAGAUCAAACAGUAUAUUGAUUGUAGGUACGUUUCUAAUAUAUCACUUGUAUGAUGUCAUGCAAUUUAUCUAUUUCAACUAAAAGUGUGCAUUUUUUCUUUACAUGCAUGGUGUAGAAAAUUUAUAUGUACACUGUUUUGACUAUAUGUGUUAUAAUAAAAUUUAUAUAUUCUGUCUACAAUAAUCAUUCUAUUAAUUUUAAAUCCAUUGCCUUUCAUUAUAUUAUUUGUAGGUACGUUUCUCCGAGUGAAACAUCUUGGAGGAUAUUCUCCUUUCCAAUCCAUGGUAGAAAACCACGCUGUUGAGAAGACUGUACUUUCAUUGUGAGGUCAAAAUUCGGUAUAUUACACUGAUUUUGAUCGUAUCAAUACAGUUCUGGAAAAACCAAGUGUAACUGAAUCAAUGUUUACAUCAUGGUUCGAAGCAAAUUGCAAGUAUCCUGAAGCACAAAAUUUAACUUACAGCAAAUUUGUUUCAAAAUUUGUUUAUGUUAGGAAAAAAAGAGAAUGGAAACCCCGUCAAAAAGGUUACACAAUUGGUAGGCUUAUAUGGGUUCCCAACAACUAGCGAAUCGUACUAUCUUAGAUUGAUGCUCACACAUGUCAAAGGCCCCCGCAGUUAUAAUGAUAUAAAAACAGUGAAUAACGUAAAAUAUGAUACUUUCCGGGAUGCCUGUUUUGCUAUGGGUUUUAUCGGCGAUGUAAGAAUUCAUUGCAGCUAUUAAAGAGGCAAAUCAUUGGGGUUCAGGUCAAUAUUUGAGAUUACUAUUUGUUCACAUGUUAUUAUCAGGCAGCAUUAACAGGCCAAGACAUGUAUGGAGUAAAACAUGUCAUCUCUUAGCUGAUGGAAUACUAUAUGCUCAACAACGAAUUGCAAACAAUAGAAGUAUUAUUUUCCUAUAUUGUGAAUUUUUAUUAUAUUUAUUUGUUUGAUUCUUAAAAGUAAAUUUGUUUUAUAGUUUACACUUAUAAUUACUAUUGUAUAAAGGUUUGAGGUUGUCGGAUGAGAGAUAAUGAAUUUAACAUUAAUUGAGAUUGCACGAAAUCUUCAAAGGAAGAGCCGAAGUCUAAAGGAAUUUACUGGAAUGCCUUAUCCAAGUGGAUAUAUGGUUGAGCAGUUGGGAAAUAAGCUCAUAUACGAAGAGCGGAGUUACAAUCCAGCCGAACAAUUGCAAGAAUACAAUAAUUUGUUCUUAAAUCUUACAGGUAAAUAUGUUAUGUUUGUAAGUUUUGUCAUAAUUUUAUAAAGUUAACUUUUAAAGUAUGAUUUAUCUUACAAUUUUUUUUAAUGUAUAAUUAAUUUAUUCAUGCAUGUUUGCUAUGUACUUUUUUAAAUUAGAUGAGCAAAGAGGUGUAUUCAAGCGAAUAAUGGAAGCAGUAAGCAAUAAACAAGGAGGCGUAUUUUUUUUGUAUGGAUACGGUGGCACAGGGAAAACCUACAUGUGGAGAACUCUAGCUUCCUACAUAAGAUCAAAGAAACAAUUUGUUUACUGUUGCUUCAUCGGGCAUAGCUUCACUACUACUUCCAGGAGGCGAACGACUCAUUCAAUGUUCAAGAUUCCAAUACCUACAAUGGAGUCUUCUACAUGUAUAUCGACAAAGGUAGCUUGAUCGNNNNNNNNNNNNNNNNNNNNNNNNNAAGAGAGAGAUUAGACUGCUCUAAUUAAUAGAGAUAUCACUUUCGCCACAUACUAAAUGACGGUCGUGGUAUAACCAACAUUGAAGUAAGUCGUCAACUUCAUUCGUCCUUAAAGACUAAGUCAAGUACCAAUAAUAAUAUCUAUCAGAAAAGAUCAGAAACAUUACACCAAUUAGUUAACUUAUUAAGUUACCUAAUGGAACAAACCAGAAUAGCAACUUUUUUGCAUCUGAUAGUGGAGACGAUAAUAUGAAUGAUGAAUCUGACGGUAAUUCUUAAUUAUUUUUCAUUUGAGUUAAUUUGUUUAUUAUGUCAUAGAAUAAUUCAAUAUUCUUAACACAAUAAAGUUAUGUUAAAAGUUAAGUUAGCAACAAAUUCAGUUGAUGAAGAUGAAAUGUCUAAUGGAACAGAUGCUAUGGAAACUUUUGAAAUUACAUCAGGUAUUAUAUUUCUAAAUAAUGAUUAUUAUUUAUGAAAUAUACAUUUAAUAAUAUGAUUAAAUACUAGAUGAUCAGAGAGGUAUUAUAUGGGGGAUCCUGUCAUGAUGUCAAUAUUGUGGUGCAAAUAUGUGGUAUUCACAAAGGAAAAACAAAUGUGUCAUCGUCCUCUCAAUCCUAAAUUUUCCAUGUGUUGUGGAUCAGGAAAAGUUUAGUUACCUUUGUUAAAACCCGCUCCUAAAGUUCUACAACAUCUGUUGUUUGACACAGAAUCAUUGUGAAUCAAAUUUCCAACAACAAAUUCGAAUGUACAACGUUAUGUUGCAUUUACAUCUCCGCGGACGACUGACUUUAACAACGGUAGAUGCCCUCCUAAUUUUCGUAUCCAAGGUCAAUCAUGUCACCGAAUUAGGCAUGUUACCGAUGCCAGGUCAAAAUCACGAUUGCGACUAUAUGUUUAUGACAUUGAGAAUGAAAUUGAAAACAUAAUGCAUGGAUUCAGGUUAGAUAUUAUUUAUUUCUUUUAAAAAUGUUAAACUGUUCAACUCUUUUUAUAGUGGUGAUGUUUAAAUUGUGAGAAACUAUCUGAAAUGUUAUAUGAACAUAAUGUUCAUGCACAUCAUUCUGCAUGGCAAGGGACAGACUUUGUGAAGAAGGUGUUUCUGAUUUACUUCGUUAUAUUGAUGAAGAAAAUGAGAAGGAUAUUAAACGUAUCCGAAGUAGCUGCUUUAAUUGUUGGAGAUGUCGACACUGCAGAAAAGAGACAUUAUAGUGCAAAAACAAUGUGGCGAACUUCAAGGAUAGAUGAGUAUCAUACCAGUUAUUUAGGAUAUCAGUACCCAUUAUUAUUUCCAUAUGGUGAGGAUGAUAUAGACCUAAUGUGAGGCACCGUGAUAAAGGGACAAAUAUCACCACUUCACAGACAUAACACAGUCAGAACAGAACAAUAUAAGAUAUUCCUUGGGAAGAAGCAACAAAGCGAAAUCGACUUACAAUAAGAGAGUGGUUGGCCUUAGAAUUCAAUCAAGAUCUAAUGAAGCACAAACAUUGUUGCGAUCAAGGAUACUUUAUCAACAAUUUUUGGUAGAUGGUUUUACAAUGAUGGAAUCAGAAAGACUUAGGUGGCUUCGAAAGAAUCAGUCAAAACUGAGGGUUGGCAAGUAUCACAAUUUGAAUGAAUAUAAUUCAAAUGGAGAAACGCACAGGUCAAACACAGUAAGAGGGUUGUGCUACUUCUUCAUACGUUGUAGUCGUAGAUAUAUGGAUCAACUAUACUUGACGGAAUGGCAAUAUGCAGCUAUGUCGGAUUUCCAGAUCUUUUCAUUACAUUCACAUGUAACCCAACUGGCCUGAAAUUCAGCGUUUGCUUGGUUCUGUUCAUCUAAAAGCAUCAGAUCGUCCUGACAUCAUUUCAAGAGUCUUUAAAUGAAAUUUGAUGAGCUUUUGUCUGAUCUCACAAAGAAAAGUCUAUUGGGGAAAGUUCUUGCAUGUGAGUAACUUAUUCCAUAUUCAUUAAUCGUAUUGUUAUUUUCAAAUUUAUCAUUCGUGUGCUGACUAUGUAUAUAUUUUAUAUAUUUAUUUUUAUAGAUAUGUAUACAAUUGAGUUUCAAAAGAGAGGAUUACCACAUGCUCACAUCUUAAUUUUCCUCCUCCAUCUAACAAUAUCCAACUCCAAGUGAUAUUGAUCGCAUUAUUUCAGCUGAAAUACCUGACCAAGAUACCAAUGAAGAGUUGUAUAAUUUGGUUAAAACUCACAGGAUUCAUGGCCCGUGUGGAUUUGCAAAUCGAUCUUCACCGUGCAUGAAAGAUGGAAAAUGUUCUAAAUAUUCCAAAACAGUUUCAGCCCGAAACAAUUGUUGAUUAAGAUGGGUUUCCGGUAUAUAGAAGAAGGGACAAUGGACAUACAGUUCUUAAGAAUGGAAUUCAAGUCGAUAACCGGAAUGUUGUUCCAUACAAUGCAAAGUUGUUGACAAAGUACAAGCUCACAUAAACAUGGAAUGGUGCAAUCAAAGUACAUAGAUUAAGUACUUAUUCAAGUACAUCAACAAGGUUACGACAGAAUCACCGCUGCCAUUGUACCGAAUGAUGAUGGAAUUCCAACCAGCCGCAAAAUAUUGAUGAGAUCAAACAGUAUAUUGAUUGUAGGUACGUUUCUAAUAUAUCACUUGAAAUAUGAUGUCAUGCAUUUAUCUAUUUCAACUAAAAGUGUGCAAUUUUUCUUUACAUGCAUGGUGUAGAAAUUUAUAUGUACACUGUUUUACUAUAUGUGUUAUAAUAAAAUUUUAUAUAUUCUGUCUACAAUAAUCAUUCUAUUAAUUUUAAAUCCAUUGCCUUUCAUUAUAUUAUUUGUGGUACGUUUCUCCGAGUGAAACAUCUUGGAGGAUAUUCUCCUUUCCAAUCCAUGGUAGAAAAACAGCUGUUGAGAGACUGUACUUUCAUUGUGAAGUCAAAAUUCGGUUAUACACUGAUUUUGAUCGUAUCAAUACAGUUCUGGAAAAACCAAGUGUAACUGAAUCAAUGUUUACAUCAUGGUUCGAAAGCAAAUUGCAAGUAUCCUGAAGCACAAAAUUUAACUUACAGCAAAUUUGUUUCAAAAUUUGUUUAUGUUAAGAAAAAAAGAGAAUGGAAACCCCGUCAAAAAGGUUACACAAUUGGUAGGCUUAUAAUGGGUUCCCUCAACAACUAGCGAAUCGUACUAUCUUAGAUUGAUGCUCACACAUGUCAAAGGCCCCGCAGUUAUAAUGAUAUAAAAACAGUGAAUAACGUAAAAUAUGAUACUUUCCGGGAUGCCUGUUUUGCUAUGGGUUUUAUCGGCGAUGAUAAAGAAUUCAUUGCAGCUAUUAAAGAGGCAAAUCAUUGGGGUUCAGGUCAAUAUUUGAGAUUAACUAUUUGUUCACAUGUUAUUAUCAGGCAGCAUUAACAGGCCAAGACAUGUAUGGAGUAAAACAUGUCAUCUCUUAGCUGAUGGAAACUAUAUGCUCAACAACGAAUUGCAAACAAUAGAAGUAUUAUUUUUCCUAUAUUGUGAAUUUUUAUUAUAUUUAUUUGUUUGAUUCUUAAAAGUAAAUUUUUUUUAGUUUACACUUAUAAUUACUAUUGUAUAAAGGUUUGAGGUUGUCGGAUGAAGAGAUAAUGAAUUUAACAUUAAUGAGAUUGCACGAAAUCUUCAAGAGAAGAGCCGAAGUCUAAAGGAAUUUACUGGAAUGCCUUAUCCAAGUGGAUAUAUGGUUGAGCAGUUGGGAAAUAAGCUCAUAUACGAAGAGCGGAGUUACAAUCCAGCCGAACAAUUGCAAGAAUACAAUAAUUUGUCUUAAAUCUUACAGGUAAUAUAGUUAAAUGUUUGUAAGUUUUGUCAUAAUUUUAUAAAGUUAACUUUUAAAGUAUGAUUUUAUCUUACAAUUUUUUUUAAUGUAUAAUUAAUUUAUUCACUGCAUGUUUGCUAUGUACUUUUUUAAAUUAGAUGAGCAAAGAGGUGUAUUCAAGCGAAUAAUGGAAGCAGUAAGCAAUAAACAAGGAGGCGUAUUUUUUUGUAUGGAUACGGUGGCACAGGGAAAACCUACAUGUGGAGAACUCUAGCUUCCUACAUAAGAUCAAAGAAACAAAUUUGUUUAACUGUUGCUUCAUCGGGCAUAGCUUCACUACUACUUCCAGGAGGUCGAACGACUCAUUCAAUGUUCAAGAUUCCAAUACCUACAAUGGAGUCUUCUACAUGUAAUAUCGACAAAGGUAGUGAUCGUACAGAGCUACUAAAAAUGGCAAAGUUGAUAAUUUGGGAUGAAGCUCCAAUGGCACACGAUUUUGUUUUGAAGCGUUUGAUAAAACCCUUAAAGACAUAUGGGGCGUUCCAAUUGUUCUGACAAAUUAUUCGGAGGGAAAGUAAUUGUAUUUGGUGGAGAUUUUCGACAAAUAUUACCAGUUGUACCAAGGGCAGCCGUUCAGAUAUAAUACAUUCUACAAUAAAUUCAUCAUACAUUUGGGAUCAUUGUGUUGUGCUGAAGCUUACAAAGAACAUGCGACUCCAACAAGCCGGCAAUACUUCAAGUACAUCUGAAUUAGAAUUGUUUUCUAAUUGGAUAUUAAAUGUUGCGAUGGAAAUAAUGGAAGAACCUAACGAUGGUUACACGGAUAUUCCUAUUCCAAAUGAUUUCUUAAUUUCUAACUAUGAUGAUCCACUAGAAGCCAUUGUUAGUGAAACAUAUCUGAAUUUUCUUAACAAUUACAAGAAUCCAGAAUUUUUGCAAUCAGAGCUAUAUUGGCAGGAACAAUUGAAACGGUUGACAUCAUAAAUCAAUACGUUUUGGGAUUCAUACCAGGUAUGCGUUAUCCAUUGUAAACAUAUUUAUAGAUACAUUCAUAUAUUUAUAUGUACUAACAUAGAUUUAUAAUAAUAAAAUUUCAAAAAAUUCCCAAAGGUGAAGAAAAGGAAUAUUUAAGUUCAGAUUCUGUAGACACUUUUGACGGUGAAGGAAAUGAAGUUUUUGAUGUUUUGACCCCGAAAUUUUUGAAUACACUUACAACUUCCGGUCUACCUAACCACAAGAUUAAAUUGAAGAUUGGGACCCCUAUUAUGUUGCUUCGAAACAUUGAUCAACCUGAAGGUCUCUGCAAUGGAACAAGGCUUAUAGUUAUAAGAUUGGCAAACCACAUUAUCGAGGCAAAGAUUAUAUCUGGAAGAUAAUUGGAGGGGUUAUCUAUAUUCCAAGAAUGGAUAUGACUCCAACACAAUCUCCGUGGCCAUUCAAAAUGACUAGAAGGCAAUUUCCCAUAACUAUAUGUUAUGCUAUGACAAUUAACAAAUCUCAAGUCAGUCAUUGGAUUAUGUUGGAUUGUAUUUGCCUAGAAGUGUAUUUAGUCAUGGUCAACUAUAUGUUGCAAUAUCAAGGGUCAAAAGCAAAAAAGGGCUUAAGAUAUUAAUCCAUGACAAGGAUAACCAUCCAUUGAAUUCUACAACAAACGUCGUGUUCAAAGAAGUUUUUGAAAACUUAUAGAACGUAAGUUUUUCAUUAGUUAUAUUAUAUAAACAAAUGUCGUUGUUUAUUAUAGAAUUUUAUUGAAUGAGUUGUAUAAAAUAUACAUUAUGUUUUAACAUUUGUUUAUAUGAAUGUAAUUGUUUUUACAGGUAAUGAAUCAUCACUUCCUAAAAGGUUGCAGGCAGGUUUUGUAUAAACCCAGUUUUUAAGGACCAAAGAAUUGUACGAAGUUAAAUCAUUUUUGUUGCUGGACUUAUUUCUCACAAUUUUAACUAAAAUUGUGAACCUUUUGUUUCAAUAUCUUUUGUUGCAUUAAACCUUACUAUAUCAAUUGCAAUUAAUUUCAACAUUUGGUAGUAUUCAUUACUAUAUUUUAAAACAAAUGAGGUUCUGGUAUUUCUUUUACAUGAUUUAUGUAUUUGGUUUAAAUAAUCAUUUAUUAUGAAAGUUAAUAUUUGCGCUUUUAUACCUCAAAUUAGUAACAAUUGGAAAAUUUCAUCCAUUACUAAAUAAAUAUAUUUUUAUUUCUUAUGUCCAAAAUCUCAAUGAUAAAUGGAAUGUUUAUUCAUAACAUUAACAGUGGAAUGUUUAUUAUAUAUCAAUAGACCAAUAAAUUGUAAAAAUAUUUUUGUAUUAUGUUUUUGAUUAUUUCCUUAAUAUAGUAUACAAAAAAAUUAAGCAAAUUAUAUUACUAUAAAUUAAUAAUGUUUUACUUUAAUAUGUCCCAAACUGGAAAAAGUAUUUUGGAAAUUUUUUGAACCCAUUUAUUGAUCAUUUAACAUCCAUUACAUUAAAAAAAACUCUUAUGCAAAAAAUUUGUGUACGUUGAUCCAGCCAUAUAUAUAUAUAUAUAUAUAUAUAUAUAUAUAUAUAUAUAUAUAUAUAUAUAUAUAUAUAUAUAUAAUAUAUUAUAUAUAUAUAGUAUAUAUAUAUAUAUAUAUAUAUAUAUAUAUAUUAUAUAUAUAAUAUAUAUAUAAUAUAUAUAUAUAUAAUAUUAAUAUAUAUAUAUUAAUAUUAUUAUAUUUUAAUUUUUUUAAAAUAAAUUAUUGCACUUGCGCGACCCGUGCGAACGCACGGGUCCUUUACUAGUAAUUUAAUAUAACAAUCAUAUCUAGUAAAAAAAAUAGUAACCAUGUCAAAUUAUAAUGAGCAAUUACAACACAUUAUUAUCAAUUUUAUAUUUUUAACAAUUCUUAAUGCGAUUUUUCUCUUAAAAGAAAUUAUUAGAAGCGCGGGAAUAUCAAAUAGAAUAUAAACAUACAUAUUUACAAAAUUUCGGUUAUUUGGUCACGGUGUGAUAUCUCUCUUAUACAAAGUUUUCUCUAGAUCCAUUAACUCAUCAUAAAAUAAAACACUUAUAUUGUUGAAUUUUUUUUUUAAAAUAAUCACUAUUUUUAAAAAAAAAAUCGAAAUAAUCAAUAUUUCAAAUUCUUUUCCAAAAUAACCACUUUUUAAAACAGAUACGUCAGAUGAACUGGCGCAUCCAUUUUGAAACAAGAGGAGACGCCAACACCAUAGGCGCAUGCUUUAGAAGCAUUGCACAGUGGCGUCAAGGGUGAUGGCGCAUGCAUGUAGUUGCAUGUGCUUGCGUCCAUGCUUUUGACGCCUACAUGUGUUUACAUGUGUGGCGCCUAGCCCUUUAGCGCAUGCAUUUUCUCACUCCUUUUAUAAAUACGCCAUCCUUGAAUCAUAUUUUUCACACAACUUUUAUUCUACAACCACAUUUUCUUUCAUUCAACUUCACUCUCCUUCACGUUUUUGAGUUUUAACCAUGUCUGAAUACAUUCAUAAGCGAAAUACCGAUUUAAUCUUUUCCGUUGUUGCGUCUCCGAUAAAGAUUCGACUUUGGAAUAUAGAUUCGUUUGAACGUCUUAAUCAUACGUUGAACAAUUAGUUAGAUGGAGAAAUUGGAGAUGGUGAAAGGAUUAGAAGAAUCCAAUGGCUUGUGUCCAUGUUCAACCAAAAUGGAGAAGUGCAUGAAUGAGUGAAUAUUAAGACUGACUGGGACGUUCAUAGGAUGAUGCAUUACAUGUUCAAAAUUGUUUUGAUGGUUGUAAUCGCUUAGUUAUUGUAAUGGUUGAGGUGCAACGUGCAAUCAUAGAUUUCUUCGGAAAAAACUUCAUACCUCAACAAUCUCCCCUUCAAUAAGGACAAAGGCGAUUGAAAAAAUGUUGUUGUUGCCAUCUUAUGUCACUGCCAUCAGUAACGUUCCUUUGUAUUUCCCGUACAACCAUGUACCAUCAAUUUGUAUAAUAGGUUUACAGAAAGAAAAACCUAUGAUGCGUGGUUGGUACGUCCAGAAGAGACGAUGGAAUAUUCCAUUUCCAAUAGCACACGUCAUGUCUGGUGUAUACGCGGGCAAUGUUUCCAACUUGACAAUAGUCUCUGGAGCAUAUUGUUUUAGAGCCAACAAAUAUUUUGGAAGUUGUUUGUAAGACUCCUCCCAAUUGCCAUACACUUUUUCAACAGCCUUUGUCCUAGCUAUCCAAGCCUUCCUAUAUGAUGGAGUGUGGUGGUAUUGUGCUACAAUAUGUGAGAUUAUUGUACUCACCUUUAACGACGGAUUGUCACCAAUGACAGACAAUAUUUCAUCGCAUAUUAGUCGAGAGCUAAGUUUCCAAUGGUCUUGCACUGGGCUUGUGAGCAUGCAUGUGUGAACUAGACCCAUAGAUCCAAUCUCCCAAGAAUCAUUCCUCUUUUGGUACGAAGCUGACAACCUGAAAAGGCAGUGCUCAUUUGGACAAUAAAUUUUGUACCUCAAUGUAUUAGUUCUAUCAACUCUGAAAUCAGCUGAUAGUUCCAUGUGAAACUUUUUAAUGGCUUUUACACAAUCUUCUUUUGUGCGAAAUGUAUCUCCUUGUUUCAAAGAUCCUUGUAUUUGCACAUAAGAAUUGUACCAUAUAUCCGAUGAAGGUUCAUCAGAACCCAAAUUCAACCUUAUCAUGUGUUGAGGUGGAAAGUAUACAUGACUAGCUGGUAAUGACUCCUCUUCUUCAUCAACGUUCACCAUUGAAUCAACCAAAAUCUCGACUGCUUCUUCUUCGUCAUCUACAACAUUCACAUCAGCUUGUUCGAUGUCAUUAGUUUCACAAAACACGUGUGACUGAUCAAUGAACUGGGACACUUGUUGUUGUUGUGGUAAUAUAUACAACUCUAUAUCGUUGUACCCAGAUUGUUCGUGAGUGACAAACAUAUGUUGAACAUCAUCAUCAUCUCGAAUCUUCUUCUGAUAAAACUUCACCUGGUUUUCUGCAAAUCAAACCAGAUUUUUAUAGAUGAUUUGCCCCAUAGGACUGCAUUGCAAUUUCUUUUCUAUUCUUUGUUUCAGAUGUGAAAAUUUUGAUCGUCGAUUUAUUGUAAACUAAGUUACCUCUGUGUUGCAAAAACAAAAACCGAAUAAUUGAUGCUCAAAUAUUUAACCUUCGGUAUGGGCACUAAUCAUGUAAUGUGGUGAGGAAGAUAUUUUUUUAACUUUAGUAUUUUUAUUGAUCUGUAUGGGUGCUAAUGGUGAAUACAUUGAUAUGUUAUUCACAUGCAAUUAAAUAGGGAAAACAUUGAAUGCAUUGAUCACGCAAUUCAUUUGCACAGACAAGACAAUGCAAUGAAAAGAAUCCAUGCAGAGACAAGAUAAUACAAUGCAUGCGUCUAGUAUAAUCUCUACACACACAAAGCAUGCGCCUACACACAAGGAAUCUCACAAGAAUCUUUUCCCUAAAGCAGGCGCCCAUUCUCUAGGCGCAUAAAGCAACCUAAGCAUGUAGUCUUGCAUAUGAAUAUUGCAUGCAUGCGCCUAAGGCUAUGGUGCCUCCUCUAUUAUGGCAUGCAUGCAUCCAAUCACAUGUUGUGUAGGUUACAAACCUAGUAAAGACUUCCUCAUCUAUAAAUAGGGCAUCAAUUCACAAUAUCUCAUCAUCUAUAACACUAACAUUCAAUCUCUGCAACACUUUAUCUUUACCACACUCAACCUCUGCAACACUCAACCUAAAUACUUGUACUUUUUAUUCAUGUGCGUAUUUGCUACAAGCAUGGGGUUGGUCAAGAAUGUCGUCACUCGCCCCGAUAAACGAGAACUCAUUCAUGUUCCCAUUUGAAACAAAGUAAGUGUAACACCUUACCAUUUAAUUAAUUAUAUUUUAUAUUACAAUUAACUGUAAAUAAUAUUUUUCAAUUUUUUUUAUCUAAGGUGGUUAGUAAGGGGGAUGAACUAUAAUAGGUGUCUGAAACACACUAUAGUAGUCUAUCGCAAUCUAUUGGACCACAUUGUACCAGACGAUGUAAUACGCCUACAUAACUAUAUUUUAAUUUAAAAAUACUUAUCAAAUUAUUUAUCAUCUAAUUGUUUCGUAUUAUUUUACAAUUUAUCUGGAGGUCAUAUCUGGGUCUUGAUCAUCAUGUGAACCAUGAUGAUGCUGCAGUUUGGACAACAAAGACACCAAUUAUCCGGUUCACUACUGUGGAAAUGCACCAGAGUGACCGGGUAAAACUGCAAUUCGGCAUGCAAUAACAGAUUCCAGAACCUCCGACGUGUUUGGGGAAUUGGCAUAAAAAAAGAGUUGAUGCCCAAUGAGAUUAUUUCGACUGGAGAGACUUUGCAAAAGAGAUGUGUCGUCAAUGGAGGAAUCGAAGACAACACAUCUUAAAUGAACCAGUCAUCCAUGGUGCAAGACCAACUCAAUAAUAUAUGACAUGAUUUAGGUCGGUAACAACGCAACAAUUUGUGUCUGAGCCGCGGUAUUUGAUAGAUCCACGCCAACUAGCUUCGUCAUCGUAUGCCCAACAACAAGUCCCCGUCCAACACCAGUGUCAAACCACCCAAAUCCAACAACCAACCUCACACCAUCAACCUACCACAUACACCCAACAACCAAACACCCAACUUCGCAACCCAUUCAUGCCAUCCACCCAACAACCAAACACCCAACGUCACAAUCUAUUCAUGCCACCCACUCAACCACAAAACCAAGAAUCAAACCUUACCCACCAACAACCAUACACUCCAACCACAACCGUCUAUAUCCUAGAUGAUUCAUAUGGGUCACUUCAUCGUAGCCCCCACCAAUGACCACUCAAACAUCCCGUCGCCAAAACACACAACCAUUGUUUAACUAUAGUACGCCCCAGGAACCAUUGUUUCAUUUCCAAAAUGAUUCAAUGUCCCAAUUUGGGCAACUAUAUCAUCCGCAAUCCACCCAACCCCAUCGACCUAACUACGAUGACAUGGGCACCGAACUCCAUUACGGAAGCGUCGUUGGCCAGAACCCCCCUCGAAUAUUGAGAACAAAUGAUGACACAUCUGUCAAAUACCGCUGGAACUUCUGCCAGACCUUCACACCAGUCAUCAUUCGAUCAGGUCAGCACACAAAGACCUCAAACACCUCAGGAAAAUCGUAGGAGACCUCGGAGACAAACUAACACACCUGGAUGUGGAACAGGGGGACGUUUCGAUCAGGUCGGUCAUUAAAUUUUUGUCAAUCCCAUGUAACAUUUAUUAUAUCAUGAAUAAUUUUUUUUACAUUAUUUUUUAUUACAUCAUAAAUAAACAAAAAUUAAAAAAUAAAUAAAAAUUACAAAAAAAUAAUACAAGGGUGUAUGCGCUAGAUGAAUUGGCGCAUACACCACAUGCAAUAAGUAGGCGCCAUAGGCAUGGACACAUUCUCAUGAGGCACAAUGCAUGCGCCAUAGGCAUUGGCGCCUCCUCAUGAGGCUUCCAAUGCAAGAGUCUUAGGCCUUGGCGUCUCCUACUGAUACAAGGACGGAUGCGCCAAUUCAUCUGGCACAUCUUUUUUUAAAGGUGGUUAUUUUGGAAUUUAUUUUAAAAAUGGUGGUUAUUUUUAAAAAAAAAAGUCACUUAUUUUCAUUAAUAAAAGGCAUAAAAUAAAUGCAUCAUAUAUAUAUAUAUAUAUAUAUUAUAUCAACCAUUAAAAUAAUACUAGUCUUCUAUAGAAAAUUUCCCUAAAUACUAACACUUUAUACUUAAGACAACAAUUCAACACACAAGCCUUGAAAUUAAAAUCCAAAAGAUUUUCCACAAUAAAAAAAAAAUGGCAUACCUUGAAAGUUGACACAAUUUAGGCUUCUUCUUUAUCACUGAUAUUUGAAAACGACAAUACCUCGAUGUUCUUGUGUCAUUAAAUGUUUAAUAAAUAGUAAAACUUUAUCACCAUAACAAGAGACCACUGAUAGUUGCAGCUCUAAGUAAUAUAACGAUCGAUUUAACUAUUAUUAUUUAUCCUGCAAAAUAAUUAUAUAAAUCUGAAACACGUAAGAAUAUUGUCUUUAAGUUUAUCUCAUAAGUACAAAUCCUCACGGAAUUAAAUAACAAAAAAAAUCUUGACCAUAACAACAUAUAACCAGGGAAUAGAAAGAAGAAAGAGAAGACAAAAGGGAGAUUCUUCUAGUUUUUUCUAUCCAAAAAUAAGAGAGUUGUUAUAUAAGUAAGAGAGAAAUAGGUUUAAUGACUUUGAUUAAGUCAAGUCAAUAUUAUAAUAAAAUAAGUAUUAAACAAAUAAAAUUUAGUUAUAAAUUAUAAAUAAAUUAAAUAAUAACAACAAUAAUUUUUUUAAAUUAAAUAUAUUUUCUCAUAUUUGUCCGUUAAAAAUUAAGUGUAAAUUUAUUUAAAACUUUUUAAAUAUAUUUAAAAUUUACAAUUUACAGCUGCUCUAUAAUAAAAAAAAUACAAUUAUUUUGUUUAAUCAUAAAAGUAUUAAUUCAAGUGCACCCCCUUCCACCAAGAUGAGGAAUAGUGUGUCGCUAAUCAUUUAAAUAUCACUUCAAGACCCAUUUAAUAAACUCUCUUAUGUAGAGAAAUUACUAUUGGUUAUAUAUCUUUCACUAUGCAGGGGGUUGGUUAUUCUUUCCAUUUUUAAUUGUGCUCGUCCAUCACCGUGAAAAAUCACAAUUGUUUUUAACGUUUGAAGAUGUAUUUUCAUCCGCCCAUUAUUGUGAAAAAUCACAAAUGUCCUUAAUGUUUAGAGAUGCAUCUCCGGACACAUAUCUUUUAGACGUAUUUUAAUAUAAAUUAUUAAGUCAUCCUUAUUUUUGCAAAAAUUUGGGAGUGUCCAGAGAUGCAUCUCCAGACAAAUGUUUUGUCAAAAUAUGAAUCUCAAACUAAUGCAUUAUGCGUGAUUUUGAGUAUAUCUAGAGAUGCAUUUCCGGACACUGUUCGGAGAUGCAUUUCCAGACAAAAUUUCAAGUGAUACUCUGCUUGAAUAUGACUUUGGGAAAGUGAAUCUCCAUCAUUUGGAUAAGAAGUUCCUACCAUUGAAAUUACCUGAGGAAAUCAUGAAUCAAAACAUGAGAAGGUCUGACUUUAUCAGAAAGAAGAACAACAUGACAUCAUGAGAUUCAAAAAUGAAAACUCUUAUUAUAUAAUGCAAUAGAGUGUAUAGUAAGAAAAUUGUAUCCAAGAUAAAGUUGGUAAGAUAUGAAAAACCCGUCCAUGAAAAAAUAGUACAAUGUAGUAUACACUACAAGAAAAAUCUUAUAUAGCUAGGAGAUUUUGUCAAGGGUAACACCCAUCACUAAUAAAAUAAUGUUAGUUGGGGUUAAACCCCUCGUAACGCUCAAAACAUAAAAAUGUAUUUUUUUUACUAACACUUAAAGUUUCACAAUAUCAACACAAAUUAAUAUCAAAUACAUCUAAAUCUUAAAAAAGAAAAAAAUGUAUUUUGUAUAAAUAAACAAAUCAAAAUCCUGCGCACUUAAAUUUAAAGCUCAUUUUUGGCGAAAUUUGACACUUUUAUAUGAAUAAAUUGAUACAUGCAACACAUAAAAUAAAAAAUAAAAAAUUGAUUAAGUGAAUGUAAAUUAUAAACUAAUAGAAAUUAAAGUAAAACAUUAAUAUUUACCUAACUUUAGUAUUGUUGAAUAUUUGAAGGAAGAAGAAAUAUGAGAUGUUUGAAGAAAGAAGAGAGUUUGAAGGUUGUUGAAAAAUGGGAGAGAAAAGAGAAGAAGGGUUAGUGAGAUGAAAGAGGAAAUGAACUCGGAGUAAGUGUAUGAGAAGUGAAAGUUGCAUUUGUCCAUUAGAUUUUGUGAGGGGCACCCCACUUAGUUCAAACUGUCAUAAUUUGCGAGAGGCAUCCCCACACGACCCAAAUUGUCAUAAUUUACGAGGGGCAUCCCCUAGUAAAGUAAUGGCGUGUUGAAAACAUGUUGCAAACGUGUGGAAGACGGUCAUAAUUUGCAAGGGGCAUCUGUACGUGGCUCAAGCGGUCAUAAUUUGCGAGGGGCAGCCCUUAGCAAAUUACUGACGUGUUGCAGUCGUGUGGCAGGCUUAGCAGGCAUAAUAAUUACAAUUUGUAGCUGAUUUAACUUAACGGUCACAAUUGAUGGGGGGUUACCCUUCACAAACUGAACAAAUAGAUUUUGCUAUGGGCUAUCUGAUCGGAAAAAUAGCAAGUGUAUUAUUUUGCUUGUUAUAGUAGUAAAGGGGAAAUUCCCUGAAUGUUGAUCUCAAGGACUCCAAGUUAAUAUCGAGUUAAAAUCAUUGUUCAAUUAAACUAAAACUAAUGUUAGGGUUCUUAAAUUCAAAAUUAUAAAAAUAAAGGUAAAAGAAAUUAAUACUGUAAAAUAAGGGUUUACAAGAGAAGAGGAACAAUGUCACAGAAGAUGUAUAAUGUGUCCCUUGUAACAACUCUGAGUCACCAUUGCAUCAACAAAUAUCAAUUAUUAACAAUUCUCAAGGGUAUUUUCUCCCAAGUCUUUGGUGAGAAAAUCGUUAAUCAUUCUACCCUAAUUUCUAUGUCCAUAGGAAAUUAUCGGUGAAAUUAAGCCUUAUUAUAUCAAGAGUGCUCUGAUUCAUACAAGGUACCCCUAGUCCUAGGUGAUAUCUACUGCAGAGUAAUCUUAUGAAAACCUUACCAAUGGCGGUCCGGCCUAAUUGAUAAUCAUACAAUAAUCUCGAUUAGUCCGAAAGAGAAAGCAUUAAACACAUCAAAAGAUUGCCGUAAAAACAAUAUUAUCAAUGCAAUCAUAAACUCAAAGUUAUUACAGAUCUAAAUCGGGGACAUCCCCUAGCAUUGGGGGGUUUAGCUACUCUUAUUGUUCAAAACAGAUUCAAGAUAAAAAAUACAUAUUACAAGUAAUCGGAUGACUUGGAUCUUCAACUGCUUCUGCUCAUGAAAAUCUUCCGCUCUUCGAAUUCCUUGAUCUCUGUAAUUCUCGAUCGUCUGACAAUUCUCUGUGCUUUCCUCGUUCCAAAGUGUCCUCUUCUCUUGUAGAAACUCUCCUACAAUAGUGAAAAAUCUCUUGGCAAUAGUUGGAAAUCUCCAAAUGAUCGGAAAAAUAACAAAUGUACUAUUUUGUUUGUUAUAGUCACAAAGGAGAAAUUCCCUGAAUGUCGAUCUCAAGGAUUGCAAGUUAAUAUCGAGUUAAAAUCAUUAUUCAAUUAAACAAAAACUAAUGUUGGGGUUUUUAAAUUCAAAAAUAUAAAAAUAAAGGUAAAAGAAAUUAAUACUAUAAAAUAAGUGAAAUUCUGGUAUCAGAUAUGAGAUGUCGAAGGUAAUGUCACGACACUAAUAUCUGAACAACAACUAAAAUACAAAUAGGAUAAAAACAAAGAAACAGUUGAACAAGCGACACAAGCAAUUGUUAACCCAGUUCGGUGCAAACUCACCUACGCCUGGGGGCUACCAAGCCAGGAAGGAAAUCCACUAAACAGAAUUAGUUCAAAUACUCUCAGUAAACAACUUCAAGUUUCAGUAUUUUCACCUAAUCUCUACCUGUGUGACUUCUAUCUAAGAACUCUUAGAUAUGAGACCCUACUCACUCCCCCUCAAUCACAACAGUGAUAUAAAAACAAAUAUUACAAGGAAAUAAGACACUCUUCAAGGACACAUACUUGAUCUUGCUUAAAAGCUUCAACCAAGUAAACAAACACUCAUACUUCAAAGCUUAUAGUGGACAAAUUACAACACAAAAGUCAGUCCAAUUCAAACAUCAAUAAGAUGAAUGAAUGGCUCAUAAUACACAAGCUCACACAAGGAUAAAACCCUAAAACUCUCUCUCUUUAUCGUUCGUCUCUUGUGUGUUUAAACCAGGUUUUACAUGGCCUUUAAAUAGAAGCUUUUGAAUGGGCCUGGGCAGCAUAAAACCCUUAUUCUAUUUUUCUUGCGUAUCUUCUAAGAAACAGCAGCUAAUCAUCCCUUAUUGGAAAAUAGAUCAUUCUGGUUUUAAAUCAAAUUACUCCUUGAAUAGCGUAUUCAAUCUUCACAUAAUCGCACACAUAUUUGCAUGAAAAGUGCAAUACCAAAAUACAUAACAUUCAGACUGAAUGUUCUGUAUACACAUGUCUUAACAUCGGGUCUGACAUCUUAGCUAAAACCUGCACAACCAUAUUUAAACAUCCUGCAGGAAGCUGAUAUCACAUGUCAAGACAACACACGUGACAACUUGUGAUAACUCUAAGUUUUACCAAAAUUGAUACCAACACAUAGAACCAACAAACCCCCCCUUUGGCAAAUUUUGACUAAAACAUACAUCAGAUCAUACGUUCACAAGAAAUCAAAUAAAGUAUCAAUUCAGCAAUAGCAGAAGUAAACAUACACACAUUACUAGCAAAAAUAGCAACUAGUAAACGCACAUGUGCUUGUGCUCAGAACACGACACACCACCCCUUCAGCUAGUCCACACCAAUCACCAAUCUGCUUCACACAGACAUAAUAGAACACUUCCCCCUCUUCUCCCUCUUUGUAUCAAACAUCCAACAUCAUCUAUAGCUAUAGCUAUAGCUACUUCUCCCCCUUUUUAGCCAAAAGAGACCAAAGAGACAAAAUAAAUGUCUAUUCAGUCAUAAACCAAAAUGUCAAAAGUUAAGGGGUUACAAAACCAAGUACAUAAUCAGCUGUAAGCGAGCUGAGAUACAAACCAACAAAACACCAAAAUAGCAAAAUAGAAUUGCCAAAAUCAAGAAAAUCCAUCAAAAUAGCAACAAAAACCAUCACAUCAAUAAACACCAUCACAUCACUAGGGACCAAAGUCAAAGGAGCUAAUCAGAGGAGCUUGAGCUUGCAGCUUCAUCAGCAUCAAAAACAGAAUUGCCAUUUGUCUCAUCAUUAUUUGCAGACCUCUCACUAGAGGUGUGGGCUUCAACUUCCUUAGCAUGUUCAAUAUUCUCACCUUCAGCUUGCUCCAAGCUUGCAAUCAGGGCUUCCAACGAUUCUUUCCUAGUUGUUGCUACCCUUAUCCCUUCACCCAGCUCUUUACAAGUCUCCUUCAGCUCAGUAAUAGUUCCAACUUUAGAGGCUGGCUUUUUCAUAGAAGAUGUCAUGACAAUAUCUUCGACAUGACUGCCUUCAAACAGUUUAUAGUGCACUGACAGGGCAGGUUUUCUUCUACUUGGUAAGUCAUUAGAACUCAGAAUCCCAGGGUGUUGACUCAGGAUAAUCCCACAAAUCAUAAAGGGAAAGGCAAUAGGCAGCUUAACUGCAUUAGUAGAUGCAUGCUUGAUAAUUUGUUCAAACAUAAAUCUACCAUAGUCAAAAUCAUUUUGGUUCCAACGGCAAAAAUAAAUCUUCGAAGGGUAUUAGCAAUUGUGGAAAUGUGGUUGGUAGGCACCCAAUUUGCAGCUCCUAUUUUAUGCAAUAUUGCAUACUUGACAGUUAACUUCCCAGCAGGAAGAUGCUUUUUAAUAGGCGACCCUUUCACCUGCCUUGCUGUAAUUUCUCUACAGACCUCAUUGUCUGUAGCUUCCAAUUCACCUGCACCCUUAACUCUUCUUCCCAGAAAAUUGUUAAUGAUAGUGGGAGAGAAUGUGAUACACUUACCUCUCACAAAUACUUUGCAAAAUUCCUUGUUGUUCUUAUCAGCAAUAUCCUCAGGAAUGUUGACAAUGAAUUCCUUAACCAAACCCUCAUAGCACUGAGAGAGAGAAUGUGAUACACUUACCUCUCACAAAUACUUUGCAAAAUUCCUUGUUGUUCUUAUCAGCAAUAUCCUCAGGAAUGUUGACAAUGAAUUCCUUAACCAAACCCUCAUAGCACUGAGAGAACCCAGUCACAGUCUUCAUCAACCCAACAGUCUUUAUUAGGUCCAUGACCUCCUUGACUUAAACAGCAUCCUUUCCUAACUCCUUUUCCACAGUCACCCUUCUUUGAAUCACAAAUUUCCAUUUGGCAGCUCCAUCUUCAAGAUGGAAAGAGAUAUUAUCCAAAUGCAUAACAAUAACUUUCAUAGGGGACUUCCUCACAGUGGUCUUCUUCACGGGAGAGAUGUCAGGGACAUCUUCCUCAACAUCUUCUUCAGACUCAGAGACUUCUCUAACCUUCCUCUUCUUCACUUCAACCUUGCUCCAAGAUUUGGAAGGACCAACACCAACAGUCUUCUUAGCUGUUUUAGUUGACAUCAUUUCAGCCACAGAUCUUCCUUUUCGAGUCUUCAUACGCUUAGCCACACUUGGCUUUAUGUGAUGAAGUAAGCUAUCCUCUUGCUCAUCAGACCUAUCAUACUCUAGGUCAAUCACAUCGUUUGCAACAUCAUGCUUCUCAGAAUGGGAAGCAUUGGCUGUUUUAGAUGCCACAGAUUUUCCUUUACCAGACACAGUUUGCCCUAGAGAGCAUAAACCUUCAGCAGCCAUGUCCUUCUCAGAACUUGAGGAAUCGUUAUUCUUCUCACUAUAUUGUGCAACCUCAGGAGAGGGGUACAUUUUAGACAGGGGAGUAGAGACUCCCUUCACAGAAUGUCCUUCAUUAAGGAAUCUAGUAACUAGGUUCCUUAUGACACAAUCAGUGUGGUGUAUUUCUUCCUUAGAACUAGUGGCAUGAGUUGAGCCAGAAGGGAUACUAGAGAUGUUACCUUGAUUGGGGCAUGCAGAAGUUGAGGUAUCCAUGGGAUGGUUUAAAUCAAGGGCUUCGCAGGGAAUAACUGAUAGAGGAAUCACAUCCAAAAUCUCAUCAUCGUGAACGUUCAUGGAAGGAGUGUUAACCUUGUGAGUAGACUUAGUAGUUUUUGAAUCAGGUGUAGUUUGAUGUUGUGACAUCUUGACGUUUCUGUGGAAAAAUUGCAGUUGCCCUAGCAAAGGAGUGUGAGGAAGAAGCAGGGAGUUGGAAGAGUUGGAGUAGGUAGUGAGGUUUGUAAGAACAAAAAUUGUUCUACAACAGAUUCCAUGAUUUUGAUGAUAACAAAGGAUGAAACCAAAAAUGGCACCCUAACGAAAAGUUUCUAAGUGUGCAGGGUUCUAAGGAAAGAAGGAAGAGAUCUGAUGAGUCAUCAGAUACAUGAAUCAUAUCAGAUACAAAUUAUCAGAAGACAGAAGUAGAAACACGUCCAAGAAAGUCUAACUCUGAGCAAACCAGAAAAUAUCAUAAGCAUCUAAACAAGAAGUACGCUCUAGAAGUCUGACUCUGAACAGAGUAUGUAAACUCCAGAAGCUCUCAGCGCUAUCUGAAGAAACAUCAGAACUCAAAAGGAGAAAUAAACAUCAAAGUUAGAUAGGCAGAUCCAAGAUUCCCAAAAACAUGAAGACUCUGAUCAUGGAUUUCCUAAUAAGAAAGAGUAACGUUAACUUCAAAUAAAGGCUUGGAAAUGGAUUCUAAUAAGAAAGAGACGUUAACUCCAAAUUCAAAUGAAAAGGAACUAUAUUUGGAAAGAAGUCUUCGAGGAGAAAAAGUAUGUGUUGGCAAGAAGCUAUAUAAGUUAUGGCAUUAAUUCAAUUAUUGGCAUUCAUUUCAACGACUAUUCACUCAUAUAAGGACUGGAAAUCAACAUUGAGAGCACAAGAAUAAUACUGAAACAUCAAACACAUAAAAACGUUUUAUUCUCUCAAUCUUCACAAGCUUUUGCCUAGAACGUGAAACAUUUUUGUUCUUCUGUUGUAAAUUCUUGUAUCUUAGAAGCACUCUGAUUACUAAGUCUUACUGUUGUAGAUGUUCCCCAAGUGACUCGUCGCAGUCUGUAUACUUGAGAGGACUAAGAGAUCUUUCUCCUGAACGUUGUUUGUAAUGCAAUCUUUAAGAUUGAGUGGANNNNNNNNNNNNNNNNNNNNNNNNNNNNNNNNNNNNNNNNNNNNNNNNNNNNNNNNNNNNNNNNNNNNNNNNNNNNNNNNNNNNNNNNNNNNNNNNNNNNNNNNNNNNNNNNNNNNNNNNNNNNNNNNNNNNNNNNNNNNNNNNNNNNNNNNNNNNNNNNNNNNNNNNNNNNNNNNNNNNNNNNNNNNNNNNNNNNNNNNNNNNNNNNNNNNNNNNNNNNNNNNNNNNNNNNNNNNNNNNNNNNNNNNNNNNNNNNNNNNNNNNNNNNNNNNNNNNNNNNNNNNNNNNNNNNNNNNNNNNNNNNNNNNNNNNNNNNNNNNNNNNNNNNNNNNNNNNNNNNNNNNNNNNNNNNNNNNNNNNNNNNNNNNNNNNNNNNNNNNNNNNNNNNNNNNNNNNNNNNNNNNNNNNNNNNNNNNNNNNNNNNNNNNNNNNNNNNNNNNNNNNNNNNNNNNNNNNNNNNNNNNNNNNNNNNNNNNNNNNNNNNNNNNNNNNNNNNNNNNNNNNNNNNNNNNNNNNNNNNNNNNNNNNNNNNNNNNNNNNNNNNNNNNNNNNNNNNNNNNNNNNNNNNNNNNNNNNNNNNNNNNNNNNNNNNNNNNNNNNNNNNNNNNNNNNNNNNNNNNNNNNNNNNNNNNNNNNNNNNNNNNNNNNNNNNNNNNNNNNNNNNNNNNNNNNNNNNNNNNNNNNNNNNNNNNNNNNNNNNNNNNNNNNNNNNNNNNNNNNNNNNNNNNNNNNNNNNNNNNNNNNNNNNNNNNNNNNNNNNNNNNNNNNNNNNNNNNNNNNNNNNNNNNNNNNNNNNNNNNNNNNNNNNNNNNNNNNNNNNNNNNNNNNNNNNNNNNNNNNNNNNNNNNNNNNNNNNNNNNNNNNNNNNNNNNNNNNNNNNNNNNNNNNNNNNNNNNNNNNNNNNNNNNNNNNNNNNNNNNNNNNNNNNNNNNNNNNNNNNNNNNNNNNNNNNNNNNNNNNNNNNNNNNNNNNNNNNNNNNNNNNNNNNNNNNNNNNNNNNNNNNNNNNNNNNNNNNNNNNNNNNNNNNNNNNNNNNNNNNNNNNNNNNNNNNNNNNNNNNNNNNNNNNNNNNNNNNNNNNNNNNNNNNNNNNNNNNNNNNNNNNNNNNNNNNNNNNNNNNNNNNNNNNNNNNNNNNNNNNNNNNNNNNNNNNNNNNNNNNNNNNNNNNNNNNNNNNNNNNNNNNNNNNNNNNNNNNNNNNNNNNNNNNNNNNNNNNNNNNNNNNNNNNNNNNNNNNNNNNNNNNNNNNNNNNNNNNNNNNNNNNNNNNNNNNNNNNNNNNNNNNNNNNNNNNNNNNNNNNNNNNNNNNNNNNNNNNNNNNNNNNNNNNNNNNNNNNNNNNNNNNNNNNNNNNNNNNNNNNNNNNNNNNNNNNNNNNNNNNNNNNNNNNNNNNNNNNNNNNNNNNNNNNNNNNNNNNNNNNNNNNNNNNNNGUAAUGUUCUCUAGAUUCCAAACUCUUGUUGCAGGUCUCAAAGUUCUAGACAAAGGGUACACAACUGCAGACCACGUCAAAAAGAUAGUCAGAAGCUUGCCAAAGAAGUGGAGACCCAUGGUCACUGCUCUGAAGCUGUCUAAGGAUCUGAACAAUAUCAGUCUUGAAGAGCUGGUCAGUUCUCUCAGAAGCCAUGAGAUAUAACUAGAGGAAGAUGAACCUCAGAAGAAGAACAAGUCUGUAGCAUUAAAGUCCAGAUCUGAAAGACGCAAAUCUGACAGAACCAAAGCCUUCCACGCAGAAACUGAAGAUGCUGAUGACUCUGAACCAGAAGAUUCUGAUGAUGAAGAAGAAUUGUCCCUCCUGACCAGAAGAGUUAAACAACUCUGGAAAAAGAGGAACAACAACUUCAGAAGACCGAGACCUAGAGGGGAUCGAUCAGAAUCAACCUCAAAAGGCAAAACUAACAAAGAUAUUACUUGUUAUGAAUGUGAAGAAACAGGUCACUACAGGAAUGAAUGCCCCAAGCUAAAGAAAGACAAUUCUAGAAAAGAAAGCUUCAAGAAAAAUACCUUCAGGACAAAGAAAGGAUUAAUGGCUACCUGGGAUGAUAGUGAAUCNNNNNNNNNNNNNNNNNNNNNNNNNNNNNNNNNNNNNNNNNNNNNNNNNNNNNNNNNNNNNNNNNNNNNNNNNNNNNNNNNNNNNNNNNNNNNNNNNNNNGUAUAAAAGAUAUGGAGAGUAUUAGUCCAAUUGUCUUCACAUCUCUCGUUUUGAAGUACUCUCAAUUUUAAAGUCUUAUAUUUCUUCCGCCAUCCUCAAUUGGAGUUACAAAGCUUAUUUGACGUUGAUUGGAGUUGACAACUCCACACUAAUAAUCUAUACAACGAUUUUGCUAUAUAUUUCGGUAGAUUCUUAUUCUUUUGACAAAAGUAAAAAAAUAAGAUCAUUAUGUUUACUCUUCUAUUAAGAAAUGUGAAGUACGUGCUUAUGUACAUUUAUCACUAUUGAAAUAGUUUCUGAUUGCAAGUGCAUUCUUUGUCUUACUAUAGUGUUCUUCUUUCUUUAUACAACUCUCAUAUAUUUGUGAUUGAGUCAUCUCUGUUUUUUGAGGGCCCUGUGUAAAUAUAAUCAAAGAUUCAACUUGCAAAAACAAUUAGAGAGACCCGUAUUUAACCACAUUUUUACAAUGCAACUUAAUUUAUAAGACCCCUAUUUAAUUUAGAGUUUCUACCAUAAAAAUUCGAGAUCUCUGUAUGCGGUAAGCCCUGCCACCACACCCUCAAAACGACCUGAUGUGAUGAGCAAAAUAUCAUUCAAAAUACCUACCAUUCAAUUAUUUCUAUAAAAUAUAUAUUCAAAACACAGUGAGAUUGAAUUGUCACUUCCAUUUAUCACCAUCUUCAACAUAAAUAAUUAUUUUUGAUCUUUCAUUCUUAAAUAUUUAUGUUAAAACAUUUGGUUUGAGAAGGAGAGUUACAUGUUGUAUAUAACUUUUUUCUUAUUAUUAAUUGAGUUAAAGGAUAAUUUAGUUCCUUAAGUUUUUUAAUAUAUAUAAAUUUCUUUUGUGAUUCUUUAUUUCAAGUCUAAUUAUUUGUCAUACUUGUGUUAUGAAACAUGGAUGCUCUGACCCAAUGAAAGCUUCUAAAAAACAUUCGACGUGUUCAGUUAGGCGACGUUUUGAUGAACGUCUCUAAUUCAAUCGAACGUGAAACUUUUUUUCCAUUCAGCUCCUUUACAGAUAAUUUUAGAGAUAGAUGGAAUACUUACAAAAUCACCAUUAACAUCUAUGUCAGGCCUUUCGGUAUGAAUACAACUUAUGUUGCUUUUAAGCAUGAUUCACCUUAUUAGGAACGAGGAUUUGAACAAUCUCUUUUUUCUAGUUACUUCAUUUCUAUUUCUAUUUGAUAGAAUCUUUAGGAAAAGAAUAAAAUUUCCGUCGAGCUAAAAAAAUAUGUUGAUGUUUCUAGUAAACUAAAAAAAUCGUUUAAUAGCUAUUUUGCUUCACUCUCUCCUAUACAAAACAAAUAAAAAAAUGGGAAGAUUUAGUUACGAUUGGAAACAAAUUUUAGAUAUCUUUCUCCCUGGAUCCACCAUCUUUAUUCUAAUAUUAUUCUAAUUUCCUACACAUGAACAUUAAAGUAAAACCUACACAGGAUCAAUAUCUACGGGGCUUGGAAAAGUCUUUCUUCCAAAGAUUCCUAAUUUCACAUAAAGUUAAAUUUCACAAAAUCACAAUAGUCUUAAAAGUUUAAGAUUGUCUUGUGUCGUGAUUAUGACAACCUCACCGUAUGUCCAGUAUAGAAUCAAUGGUUGCCAUUAAACAUAGACAAUACAUUCAAACUAACAAAGUUCAUUUCUGGACAAACCAGAAUCCAUUCACAUUAUUAAACAAAACAUCAUUAACUGUAACUAAUAUAACGAUCCUGUCAGGCUGAGUUUUCCACAGCCAUCUCUUAUGGACAUGGAAGAACAAAAAUGAUAACUCUAUAAUAUAUACUUCUUAAAAUGCUUCAAUAGAUGGACAUGAGUAACAAUCAGCAAGCAAUUGCGGUGGAAAUGCUGCCGUUUUCAUCAACCAAAGUGUCCUCCAAACAAUGUCCAUCGGCUAACUGGUCCAAUGGGUUUUUGCCAUUUUCGUCUUCGUUGGAAACCUCGACAUCUAUAAAGCUUGGUUGGUUUGUUGAAGAUAACAGCCUGGCCCACAUUCUAUCAGUUAUCACAACAUUAUUC
rnacentral:lncRNA from 1 species